AUACCUACAUGGCAGGGAAGAUACCAGGAUAACAAAGUUAGUUUUUCCAGGACAAUUGUUAUCCACUGCACUCCAGAUGUGAUCACUCUGUAAUUUUCCCUAAUGUGGGAAACCUAACAGCAUGAUUUGUGAGAAGGGUAGACUGAGAUCACUCUCUCCCCUA